rnacentral:rRNA from 1 species
GCAUAUCAAUAAGCGGAGGAAAAGAAACCAACAGGGAUUGCCCUAGUAACGGCGAGUGAAGCGGCAACAGCUCAAAUUUGAAAUCUGGCUUCGGCCCGAGUUGUAAUUUGCAGAGGAAGCUUUAGGCGCGGCACCAUCUGAGUCCCCUGGAACGGGGCGCCACAGAGGGUGAGAGCCCCGUAUAGAUGGACGCCUAGCCUGUGUAAAGCUCCUUCGACGAGUCGAGUAGUUUGGGAAUGCUGCUCAAAAUGGGAGGUAAAUUUCUUCUAAAGCUAAAUACCGGCCAGAGACCGAUAGCGCACAAGUAGAGUGAUCGAAAGAUGAAAAGCACUUUGAAAAGAGGGUUAAAUAGCACGUGAAAUUGUUGAAAGGGAAGCGCUUGUGACCAGACUUGCGCCGGGCGGAUCAUCCGGUGUUCUCACCGGUGCACUCCGCCCGGCUCAGGCCAGCAUCGGUUCUCGUGGGGGGAUAAAGGCACCGGGAACGUAGCUCCUCCGGGAGUGUUAUAGCCCGGGGCGUAAUGCCCUCGCGGGGACCGAGGACCGCGCUUCUGCAAGGAUG